GAUGAACGCUGGCGGCGUGCCUAAUACAUGCAAGUCGAGCGAACGGACGAGAAGCUUGCUUCUCUGAUGUUAGCGGCGGACGGGUGAGUAACACGUGGAUAACCUACCUAUAAGACUGGGAUAACUUCGGGAAACCGUAGCUAAUACCGGAUAAUAUUUUGAACCGCAUGGUUCAAAAGUGAAAGACGGUCUUGCUGUCACUUAUGGAUGGAUCCGCGCUGCAUUAGCUAGUUGGUAAGGUAACGGCUUACCAAGGCAACGAUGCAUAGCCGACCUGAGAGGGUGAUCGGCCACACUGGAACUGAGACACGGUCCAGACUCCUACGGGAGGCAGCAGUAGGGAAUCUUCCGCAAUGGGCGAAAGCCUGACGGAGCAACGCCGCGUGAGUGAUGAAGGUCUUCGGAUCGUAAAACUCUGUUAUUAGGGAAGAACAUAUGUGUAAGUAACUGUGCACGUCUUGACGGUACCUAAUCAGAAAGCCACGGCUAACUACGUG
rnacentral:rRNA from 1 species